rnacentral:tRNA from 1 species
UACAAAUACUCUACUAGGAUUAUGCACAAGAAAAGGUCAGGAUAGCUCAGUUGGUAGAGCAGAGGACUGAAAAUCCUCGUGUC